CCUAACUCACCCUCCCCUCUUCACCUCUGCCCUGUCUCGGAUUGCUUUCCCAGGUGUUCCAGAAGCACCUGAAGGACAAAUCAAUAGUGAAGGUCCUUAUUCACCCCUGGAAUGAAGCUCCUUUCCUGCAGUUGGACUUCUAAAGAAGCAAGGUGGUGUCCCUGAGCUGUAUUUAACUGGUGGGCAAUUGAGCAGGAGUAAAACAAGGAAAAUAAUGAAAGAACAUGAUUUAUGUUGAUUCACAAACAAGAGAACACAAGCUAUCCCACUGACCUGGCUUAAGCUAAUGAGAUGAACUGGAAAGAGUACUGAAGAACUCGAUUUGGUGCCAUGAAGCUGGGUAAGUCUUCUCUCCCUGAGCUCAGUUUUAUCAUCUGUAGCACAUGCAGGCAUUGAACUGGGUGGGCCCUA